GGGUGUGCAGUCUCUGUGUGCCAUUGACCAUAGAUUAUUUUAAACAAGGGUUCCAUGUCAAACUCCGUAUGGAGGCAGGAUCAGAAAAGUGGACUUUCCAGGGUUGCCAUGAUCUGAAACACACUAUACUAAGGAUGCAUUUGAAGUGAUGUCCUGAACAGUAGCACAGCUUGUGCACUGAACCAUCCUGAGGCAUACGGUUCCUAACAGGCAUCUUAGAAAUGUAUAUUCCUCAUGCCAGCAAAUGGUAAAAAAGAGUCAGGUAGUUGGAAAUAAAGUAUCUUGAGGAUGAAUUUUCUUUUCCUGAUUCAGAAGUAUCUUACAAGCUACUGGCUGCUCUGGUUUUUGUUUAUCCCAAGUUCAUUAGCCUUGUCUCUGCCAUAUAAAAAUAAGGAAGCCUCUGCUGGUUGUCUGUUCUGUCAUUAGUACAUUGGCCCCAUAGACCAUCCCCAUGACAAACAACAGCCAUCCUGGGGGAUCAGAGCAGGAGGGGAGACAGGGGAUGGGGACAAGAUGACUUCCCCUCCUCCCCUAUGGGGAGGACACCGAGGGCCCAGGCCCCCUCUGCCUGAACCUGCAGGGCCACUUCCUGUGAGCUCAUCUCCUCUCCUGUCUCUAGCAGCUGAGCAGGCAGAUCCUCUCCAGGUGGACACACAGAGCCGGACUCAUGGGGCCUCAGAAUAGGACCUUUCUCUUCCUCUCUUCCGUUAUUUCUGCCUGACAGCCUGGCAGAUCAUCUGGUUAAAGCAGAUACUGCAACAGCUACUGCUGAGCAAAGUGAAUGCACACGAUUAUUAGGGAAAAUGAAUUUUUGGAAUAACCAGUUGCUGUCCCGGAUCCCUGACUUCACUGAGAUUCAUAUGAUACGGCAAACACCGAAGGUACUGGCUCAGUCGUUAUUCAUGAUCUCCGUGAGCCAGGUCUUGACCGACUUCAUCGUGUCCUGUCGCAAGUACUUUUCAACAUCAGCUCCAUCACUGAAGGUCUGGUUUCCCACGUGGAUGGCUCGUCUCACUUCUGAGAGUGACAGAAACUUCCCAUAGUUGCCGCCAUCAGAAUCCAUAGCAAGAAUGGCCACUGCCUUGGGUGACUUCGGAUGCCUCUCUGAAGAAUUCUGAGCUGGACGGUGAGAACUCCUGUCACCUGAAGGAAAUGAAGUGGGCUACCUUCAGGAAGGAGUUGUGCACAUGCCCUGCCAUCCCACCCUUCCCAGCACAGACUAUGGAAUAGCCACUCCCAAUGAUGGUGGUGAACCAGAGGGAAGAGGAGAAUUGCAAUUCCCUGAAGAGAACUGAAGAGAAUUUCAUACACCCAGAAAAACACACAGAAAGUCACAAAAACUGGUAAGAGCCCUAAGAGCGAUGGUGGUAACACCAGGUAGCAGCCAAGGAUUAGGCUAGGGCAGCGUUGUUGACUUCAUCUAGCCUGAGGGUAGCUAGACUCUCACAUCACUCAAUACCCUUAUUUCCUCUGAGGAGAGAAUUGUGUCCUUCGAAUGGCCAGUUCAGAAAUUUAAUGAAUCAGGAAAGCUGGAACUUCAGUGUUGUGGUAAUCUCUACAACUUCCUAGACAUUUCUAGACCGUGCGUCAUCUAAUUUCGAGACCACAUUGCUGCAAUUAAAAAAAAAAAAAAGGCUUCUAAGAAGAAUAUGAUUUUAUCAAAGCAGCUAUUUCUCUUGAAAAUGAGCUUAAAAAGACUCUUGCAAAAUCUACAGGCACAGACACAUAGCAAGAAGAUUUUGAUCUGUAGCCAACUUUUAGUUACAUAAACUGAAGCAAAGGUACGUGCUGCCUUCUGAAUGAUAUAUUCUCUUUUAGUAUUGAGAGGAUACUUCUCUUAAAUAAAUAUU